UAAAAAGCAUGCGGGAGCCAUUUCCAAGGCUAAUUGAAGCAGAAGAAGAGGAGGCAUCAUCGAAGAAGAAAGAAAGGUAGCCCGAGCCAGUCAUGGCGAAGUCAUCGCAGAGUAUUUGAUGCCCUGCUCUUUGGAUGCAGGCACUGGGCUACCCGAGGAAAUGGUGCCAGAGAGGGCAAAUGAUGCAGGCAUUGAUGCCUUUGAUGUGCCCGACGUUGAUGCUUUUGACAUGCCCUGUAGAGAGCAGGAUCUGGC